CGAAAUCAGGAAACGGAUCUAGCACUUCCAAAACCAAAAACUAAUUUUUUGAAGCGAAGCUUUAAAUAUAGUGCAUCAAUGCUGUGGAAUAAUCUUCCAUUAGAUGCAAAAAGAGCGACUUCGCUCAGUCAAUUUAAGCGUAGCAUUGCGCAGCUGUCCUUUUAGAACCAUGUUUACUUAAUUACAGUUAACUCUCUUUACUUACUUUACUUACUUUAUUUUUUUCAGUUGUUGGGGGAGAAGGGGAGGUUGGGGGUUCAUAUAUUAUUCUAUAUAUUUUACUAUUUUGUAUAUCACGCCCCUCCUGUAAAUCAGCUUUCAGUUGUG